CGGCAUGCUUAACACAUGCAAGUGGUGCGACGAACCUUUUAGGGGCAAAGCCGCGAACGGGUGCGUAACACGUGGGCAAUCUGCCCCGAUGACUGGAAUAACCCGAGGAAACUCGAGCUAAUACCGGAUGUGCAUGUCCCUCAUCAAAGGCCCAUGUAAAGGGAGCUUGGGCUAUCCGCAUCGGGAGGAGCCUGCGGAGCAUUAGAUAGUUGGUGGGGUAACGGCCUACCAAGUCGACGAUGCUUAGCUGGUCUGAGAGGACGAUCAGCCACCCUGGAACUGAGACACGGUCC
rnacentral:rRNA from 1 species